rnacentral:rRNA from 2 species
AAAUUGAAGAGUUUGAUCAUGGCUCAGAUUGAACGCUGGCGGCAGGCCUAACACAUGCAAGUCGAGCGGCAGCGGGAAAGUAGCUUGCUACUUUUGCCGGCGAGCGGCGGACGGGUGAGUAAUGCCUGGGAAAUUGCCCAGUCGAGGGGGAUAACAGUUGGAAACGACUGCUAAUACCGCAUACGCCCUACGGGGGAAAGCAGGGGACCUUCGGGCCUUGCGCGAUUGGAUAUGCCCAGGUGGGAUUAGCUAGUUGGUGAGGUAAUGGCUCACCAAGGCGACGAUCCCUAGCUGGUCUGAGAGGAUGAUCAGCCACACUGGAACUGAGACACGGUCCAGACUCCUACGGGAGGCAGCAGUGGGGAAUAUUGCACAAUGGGGGAAACCCUGAUGCAGCCAUGCCGCGUGUGUGAAGAAGGCCUUCGGGUUGUAAAGCACUUUCAGCGAGGAGGAAAGGU